CCCUUAGAUGUCCUGGGCUGCCCGCGCGCUACACUGAUGCGCUCAACGAGUUUACGAUCUUGCCUGAAAUGGCUGGGUAAUCUUUUUAAAACGCAUCGUGAUGGGGAUAGACUAUUGCAAUUAUUGGUCUUCAACGAGGAAUUCCUAGUAGACGUAGUUCAUCAGACUGCAUCGAUUACGUCCCUGCCCUUUGUACACACCGCCCGUCGCUCCUACCGAUUGAAUGCUCAGGUGAGCCAUUCGGACUUUCAUCAUGCUGGUUUCCAGUUUUGAUGAAGGAAAGUCUUGCGAACCUUAUCAUUUAGAGGAAGGAGAAGUCGUAACA
rnacentral:rRNA from 1 species